rnacentral:rRNA from 1 species
UACAGAGGUCUCAAGCGUUGUUCGGAUUCAUUGGGCGUAAAGGGUGUGUAGGUGGCGCUGUAAGUCGGGUGUGAAAUCUCGGGGCUUAACUCCGAAACUGCAUUCGAUACUGCGGUGCUUGAGGACUGGAGAGGAGACUGGAAUUCAUGGUGUAGCAGCGAAAUGCGUAGAGAUCAUGAGGAAGACCAGUGGCGAAGGCGGGUCUCUGGACAGUUCCUGACACUGAGACACGAAGGCCAGGGGAGCAAACGGG